UGAGUCCUCAAACGAUUUGCACCAGCUGGU
rnacentral:piRNA from 1 species